rnacentral:rRNA from 1 species
UACGAAAGGGGCUAGCGUUGUUCGGAAUUACUGGGCGUAAAGCGCACGUAGGCGGCACUGUAAGUUGGGGGUGAAAUCCCGGAGCUCAACUCCGGAACUGCCUUCAAGACUGCAGAGCUGGAGGAUGCGAGAGGUGAGUGGAAUUCCGAGUGUAGAGGUGAAAUUCGUAGAUAUUCGGAAGAACACCAGUGGCGAAGGCGGCUCACUGGAGCAUUUCUGACGCUGAGGUGCGAAAGCGUUGGGAGCGAACAGG